AUUCAAAUAUGUAAGAAAUAGCUUUUUACUCCUCUUCUCAUUUAAAAAUUUCCAAAGGGUAAAUAAACGGAAAAGGACAAAAAUACCUCUUGUGCCUAAUAAAUAGUAAAUUUUCUUUUUUUUUUUUCUUUUUUUGAGACGGAGUCUCGCUCUGUCACCCAGGCUGGAGUGCAGUGGUGCGAUCUCAGCUCACUGCAACCUCUGCCUCUUGGGUUCACGCCAUUCUCCUGCCUCAGUCUCCUGAGUAGCUGGGCUACAGGUGCCCGCCACCAUGCCUGGCUAUUUUUUAUAUUUUUAGUAGAGAUGGGGUUUCACCGUGUUAGCCAGUGUCUCGAUCUCCUGACCUUGUCAUUCUCCCAUCUCGGCCUCCCAAAGUGCUGGGAUUACAGGUGUGAGCCACCAUGCCCGGCCAAUACAUAGUAAAUUUUCUAUACUGAUAAACACUGCUAGAAGAAACUGGAGCUGGAAAUUUCAAAGAGGGAUGGAAAGUCAGGGUCCAGUUCUGGACAUUUCUUAGAAAGGCAGCCACGGCCGGAUGCGGUGGCUCAUGCCUGUAAUCACGCCACCGGCUCAUGCGGUGGCUCAAGCACUUUGGGAGCCACUGUGCCGGUCUGUUGGUCUCUUUUUACCCUAAAAUUGUUAAGUUCUUCUUUCAAGAGCACAGCAGGGGAAGGGCUGGGGAACUUAGACAUAUCGCCAAGUCAGACUGAGAUGAGAACUUCUAAUCUUACAUGUUUAAUACCAAACACAAAGCAAACACAUUCAUCAUCUAGAGUAC
rnacentral:lncRNA from 1 species